UUAUGAUUGAUUUUAUAUUUCUGCGUAUUAAGUCGCUUCAAUCGUGUCCAGCUCUUUGCAGUCCCGUGGACUGUAGCCGGCCAGGCUCCUCUGUCCAUGGGAUUUUCCAGGCAAGAAUACUGGAUGUGCAUAGUUCCUGGUUAACAUAGAAAUGCAGAGUGUCUUGGCUGAAUCCUCACGCAGACAAGAUCAUUAUGGUCCUGGUUGAAAAAGUGAUACAUUAGUUAAAGGAAACAAAGUGGAAAGCCCAGAAGGAAAAGAAAAUAUUGCCAAAAAACCAGCUUGUCAGCCACUGAGGUGGGUCCUCAGCCUUAGCCAAACCUUCAGAUGACUGCAGUCCCAGCGUGCAUCUUGACUACAGUAUCAUGAGAGACCCUGAGCCAGAACUGUCUAAUUACAUCACUUCCAAAUUCCUGAACUAC
ensembl:lncRNA